rnacentral:tRNA from 1 species
GCCAGCAUGGCAUAGUGGUUGAGUGUUGGACUACGACUCUGGAGACCAGGGUUCGAUUCCCAGCUCGGCCA